rnacentral:misc_RNA from 1 species
GAAAUGCGAUAAGUAAUGUGAAUUGCAGAAUUCAGUGAAUCAUCGAAUCUUUGAACGCACCUUGCGCUCCUUGGUAUUCCUUGGAGCAUGCCUGUUUGAGUAUCAUGAAAUCUUCAAAGUAAAUCUUUUGUUAACUCAAUUGGUUUCUACUUUGGUAUUGGAGGUCUUUGCAGCUUCACACCUGCUCCUCUUUGUUCAUUAGCUGGAUCUCAGUGUUAUGCUUGGUUCCACUCGGCGUGAUAAGUUAUCUAUCGCUGAGGACACUGUAAAAGGUGGCCAAGGUAAAUGCAGAUGAAACGCUUCUAAUAGUCCAUUGACUUGGACAAUACUUUUAUGAUCUGAUCUCAAAUCAGGUAGUACUACCCGCUGAACUUAAGC